AGCAGCCGCCGCGGGAAUACGUAGGGUGCGAGCGUUAAUCGGAAUUACUGGGCGUAAAGCGUGCGCAGGCGGUUUUGUAAGACAGGCGUGAAAUCCCCGGGCUCAACCUGGGAAUGGCGCUUGUGACUGCAAAGCUAGAGUGCGGCAGAGGGGGAUGGAAUUCCGCGUGUAGCAGUGAAAUGCGUAGAUAUGCGGAGGAACACCGAUGGCGAAGGCAAUCCCCUGGGCCUGCACUGACGCUUAUGCACGAAAGCGUGGGGAGCAAACAGGAUUAGAUACCCGUGUAGUCCCUGUCUCUUAUAC
rnacentral:rRNA from 1 species